UACAGAGGUCUCAAGCGUUGUUCGGAUUCAUUGGGCGUAAAGGGUGCGUAGGCGGCGCGGUAAGUCGGGUGUGAAAUUUCGAGGCUUAACUUCGAAACUGCAUUCGAUACUGCCGUGCUUGAGGACUGGAGAGGAGACUGGAAUUUACGGUGUAGCGGUGAAAUGCGUAGAUAUCGUAAGGAAGACCAGUGGCGAAGGCGGGUCUCUGGGCCGAUACUGACGCUGGAGGAGCGAAAGCGUGGGGAGCGAACAGG
rnacentral:rRNA from 1 species